rnacentral:rRNA from 1 species
AGUGAACGCUGGCGGUAGGCCUAACACAUGCAAGUCGAACGGCAGCACAGUAAGAGCUUGCUCUUACGGGUGGCGAGUGGCGGACGGGUGAGGAAUACAUCUGAAUCUACUUUUUCGUGGGGGAUAACGUAGGGAAACUUACGCUAAUACCGCAUACGACCUACGGGUGAAAGCAGGGGAUCUUCGGACCUUGCGCGAUUGAAUGAGCCGAUGUCGGAUUAGCUAGUUGGCGGGGUAAAGGCCCACCAAGGCGACGAUCCGUAGCUGGUCUGAGAGGAUGAUCAGCCACACUGGAACUGAGACACGGUCCAGACUCCUACGGGAGGCAGCAGUGGGGAAUAUUGGACAAUGGACGCAAGCCUGAUCCAGCCAUACCGCGUGGGUGAAGAAGGCCUUCGGGUUGUAAAGCCCUUUUGUUGGGAAAGAAAAGCAGCAGGUUAAUACCCCGCUGUUCUGACGGUACCCAAAGAAUAAGCACCGGCUAACUUCGUG